rnacentral:lncRNA from 1 species
UUCAAUACUCUUAUGUAGUAUUUUUUUUAGUAUUUCAUUUUCUUUUAGCAUUUUACUUUUUUAGUAUUUUAUUGUCUUUUAGCAUUUUUGUUUCUUUUAAUAUUUUUUUUAUGUCCAUGUUUUUUUAUUAAAUUCGUCAUGCAUUCACAUUUUUGUUUCUUUUAAUAUUUUUUUUAUGUCCAUGUUUUUUUAUUAAAUUCGUCAUGCAUUCGAAACCAUUUGAAAACUUAUAAAAAUCAUAUUUUCUCGAUUUAAUAUCGAGCCCUUUUUCAAACCCUUGUAAGUCGAUUGCUUUUUUAAGCAUCGCCGCCAACCUCACAUAGCUUACUCUUGGGCUUUCUUACAAUGAGCCGGUUCUCUUGCACUUACACUCAUGCAUUAUUUGUUUGGGUCCGAUUUAAU